ensembl:lncRNA
GCCGUCCUCGGUUUGUCCGUCUGGUUGGGCCUCCUAGACACCACAACUGUGCCACGCACUUCUUCCUCCACAUCCUUCUCUUGCUCUCUUUUCCUCUCUCUCUCUCACCGUGUCUCUCUUCCUCUGUCCAGUCUCUCAAUAGUGGUCCUCUCUGCUCUCGUGGGGGAGGCUGUAAUAUCUGGUUUCCUAAACAAUGGAAAUUCAAUCAGGAAAUGGACCCGAGGUGUCGAAAGAAGGAGGGUGCGCUCAUUCGUCUCCUCUCGCCCUGCGGCCUGCGAACGCUAAAGAGGACCUGGAGGAGAACAGGCGCAUUGAGAAGUUUGACAUCCCACUCAGCAGCCUGAAGCAAAUGUUUGAGAAACCGCCGGCGCAACAUGUGGAAGUGAGUGGUUCAUAUUCGUCUAGUGGGAGAGUAGCAGACAAAUAUAGUGGUGUAGGAGAAAAAAUGUCGAAUCAGGAAUCAAACUUUGGUGGAUCUGCGGGCAGCGCAGGUGUUUCACCAUCAAGAAAGGGACAGGCCGACGUUGAGGCUGAUACUGUGCCUCUCAAGCAGAGACUGGCCUUAUACCAAGCUGCCACUACCAAGGAGGAGAGAAGCCCAUCUGUGGUCAUGGAUAGCUCUGAGCCGUGCUCUCUGCCAGGCGGACUGGCCAGCAUCAAGAAACAGUUUGAAAGCCAAGAGUUCAGUUCCUCUUCUGCGUCCCAAAGCACUGUUACACAAUACCACUACCAACAGAGACAGCAGGUGGUGAGCUCAUCAGAGGUGACGGUACGAAGCAGUGUUAAAGAAAGCAGUACCUCAAAUGCUCAGGUAUACCCAUACAAGAUGAAAACCCCAUAGGUGCAAUGCCCAAUAAAAAAAUUCUGCUAUGAUUUACGCA